rnacentral:lncRNA from 1 species
AAGGCUAUUAAAGAGAGGCCACUCUAGGACUAAAAAAGGGGAUGAUGGCACAAGCAGGUACUUAGCUCCUGAAUGGCAGAAGGACGAUGCAUCAGUAUCAGUAAAAGCUGAUAUUUAUAGUUUUGGGGUGGUAUUAUUGGAGAUUAUCUGUCGUAGAAGAAGUAUAGAAAUGAAUAAUAUAUCCUCAGCUGACGAAAUCCUUCUUUCCAGUUGGGUAUAUCAAUGUUUUGCAGCAGGACAAUUAAACAAGCUUAUCACACGUGAUGAAAAAGAUGUGGAUUGGAAGAUAUUGGAAAGAAUGGUGAAGGUGGGGUUGUGGUGUGUGCAAGACCACCAAUCCCUCCGUCCUGCAAUAAAGAAUAUAAUCUUAAUGCUAGAAGGUUUGAAAGAUAUUCCAGUUCCUCCCUCUCCAGCUCGCUUGGUUGAAUAGUCUUGCUGCUUGUGUGAUGCUAGCUUUUUUGCUUGUCACUCGUGGAAGUCGUGUAAUAUAAAUAUUUGUUUAGUAUUGGCUUGUGUGAUUUAUCAUUUGUCCUAUUUUAGUUUCAGUUUUAUGUUGAAUUUAUUGCACAAGUUGUGUUGUGACGAACUAUUUCCUCCUAUAAGUAAAAUUUAGUCAAAGAGAAUUGAUGCAUUUAAUUUUAAUUUUAGACCAGAUAUAUCAACCUUUUUUGACUUAUUUUGGCUCAUAAUUUUAGACGAAGUAGUAUAUCAAAAGCUAGGUUUAGUGAUUGGAAGUCAUGUAAUGUAAAUAUUUGUUUUGUAUUGGCUUGCAUGAUUUAGUUAAUACAUGUAAUUCAAGACUUCCAUUUUUAGUUGAUAAUAUUUUUUUUAUGUAUUUGUUUCAGAAAGAAAUAAUUCAAUAGGAAUUUGAUUAAGCAAAAAUGAUAUGCUUUUUUGUCUAAAUAAUUCAAUAGAAGUUUGUUUUAGAAUGAAUAUACGAGCACAAUUUCUUAUUGUCUAAAAGUGUUGUGCUUUUUUGCUUUACUAAAUUUCCAUGAGCACCACGAGUCUUUAAUUAUUUGAGUCAUUGACUAGAAAAGCAAGUCUUUGGGAAAAAGGCCAUAUCCUUCAAUUUAAACUAUGCAAUGCAGUGAAAUUUGGCAUUAUAAAACACCAACUUAGCUUCUCUUCUCUCUCAUAAAAUCAACAUCCAGUACGUAUGGAUGCUAUUGCUGUUUAUAUCACUUUCCUAUUGUUCAUGUCCUUACCAUCAGAAAAUACUAGAGCUAGAGCUGAAACACAACCACCACUACCCAAGAAGAUAGUACCUGGUACCUCACUUUCCCCUAUCAGUGCUCACUCCUCUUCUUGGCUUUCCCAUUCUGGCCUAUUUGCUUUUGGAUUUUAUCCACAAGGCAAUGGCUUUGUUGUUGCAAUUUGGUUGGUUUGCAAGAAGAACAAUACAAUAGUAUGGACUGCAAACCGAGAUGAUCCUCCAGUAACCUCAACUGCAAAGCUACAAUUUACCAUGAACGGUAGGCUAAUACUAAAAGAUCAAAAAGGACAAGAGAAGCUUGUUGUUAAGGUUAAUGCAAGAGCUUCCUCUGGCUCCAUGCUUGAUUCUGGGAAUUUUGUACUAUACGGCAACGAUAAUUCCAGCAUCAUAUGGCAGAGUUUCGAUUACCCAACUGAUACUUUGUUGGGGAAUCAAUCUCUACCUUGCGGUGGCCAACUCUCCUCUAGUAUAUCAGAGACCAAUCGGUCAACUGGAAGGUUUCAACUGAACAUGCAGAAUGAUGGAAAUCUUGUUCUGUAUCCAGCAUACAUAUCUGCAACAUCAUGGGAUGCUUACUGGGCCUCUGAUACUAGUGCGGGUAAUGAGGUCAAAUAUCAUCUUUACCUCAACAAAACAGGUUCACUCCAGAUUUUGAAUAGCAGUAGUGUUUUUAUUUCUAGCCCUAUCGCCACUUUGAUUGAUGCUCUAGAAGACAAUGACACUGGAGGAAACCAGACUAUUUAUCGUGCAACCCUUGAUUCUGAUGGAGUUUUUCGGCUCUAUGCUCAUUAUGUUAACAAUGGCAGUGACAAAGUUAUCAAAAGUUUUCCAGAGACCAACACGUGUGAAGUAAAAGGGUUUUGUGGCUUCAACAGCUACUGCACAUUCAACGAUGACAAACUAUUGUGCAGCUGUCUCCCUGGUUAUAAACUAUUAGAUGAAAAAAACCAAGAUACUAGUCUUGGCUGCAAAAGGAACUAUUCGAAAGCUGAGUGUAAAGAUGAAAAAGAUGGUGAGGCCUUUUAUAACAUGGUACCAAUGAACAAUAUUGUAUGGGAUGACCAUCCUUAUUUCCAAAAUGAAGAUACGUCAUCAGAAGAACAAUGCUCCCUUGCUUGUUUAGUUGAUUGUAACUGUUGGGCUGCAUUGUAUGAAAAAGGAAGCUGCAAGAAACAAGGGCUGCCUUUGAGAUAUGCCAAACGAACACAUGAAGGUGACGAUUCUACCAAGGCGUUCUUCAAGGUGGGAAAAAACAGCUGGAAGGGGUAUGAAAAUCCUUUUCCCAUUCCAAUCAAGACUACAAGUAACAAAGCAGUAGUGCAUAUUAUUGUUGUUACAUCUGUAUUUAGUAUCAUUUUGUGUUCAGCGAUUGUUAUAUCGAGCCAUUACAUGUACAAGAUUCGGGUUUUAAAGUACAAAAGGCUAACCGAAACAUGGAGCUUGGGGGGCCUGAAUGAAGAUGUAGCUUUGAGAAGGUUUACAUACAAUGAGUUGAGAAGAGCAACAAACCAGUUCAAGGAAGAGUUGGGUAAGGGAUCUUUUGGAGCAGUUUACAAAGGAAGCUUAAACAAAGGUAAGACUAAGAGAUUCAUUGCAGUGAAGAGGCUAGAGAAGUUGGUGGAAGAAGGAGAAAGGGAGUUUCAAGCAGAAGUGAGGGCUAUUGGAAAAACCCAUCACAGGAACUUAGUUAGAUUGCUAGGAUUUUGUGCUGAGGGUUCUAAAAGGCUUCUGGUUUAUGAAUACAUGAGCAAUGGUUCACUUGGAAAGCUUCUGUUUGGCGAUCAAAGACGUCCGAAUUGGGAUGAGAGAAUAAGAAUAGCACUGGACAUUGCUAGAGGGAUCUUGUAUCUCCAUGAAGAGUGUGAGGCACCCAUCAUUCAUUGUGACAUAAAGCCUCAAAAUAUUUUGAUGGAUGAGUUUUGGACUGCUAAGAUAUCUGAUUUUGGGCUUGCAAAACUUCUAAUGCCCGAUCAAACCAGAACUUUCACGGUGAUUAGAGGGACAAGAGGCUACAUGGCGCCAGAAUGGAACAAGAACACUCCAAUAUCACUGAAGGCAGAUGUUUAUAGCUAUGGAAUAGUAUUGUUGGAAACACUUUGUUGCAGAAGAAACCUUGAUGUUAAUGUGUUGGAACCAGAGGAGAUUCUUCUCUCUGGUUGGGCUUAUAAAUGCUUUGUUGCAAGAGAGGUAAAUAAGCUUGUUCCUUCGGAAGUUAUUGAUGAGAAUGUCAUGGAGAAUAUGGUUAAGGUGGCACUUUGGUGUAUCCAAGAUGAACCUCUUCUCCGUCCGACAAUGAAAGGUGUAGUGUUGAUGUUAGAAGGGAUUACAGAUAUAGCAAUUCCUCCUUGUCCAGAUUCAAAUCGUGCAUGAAAAUAAUGUUGCAGCAGUUCCUCAAGUGUUUUUCAGUCUGUUUAUUUAUGUCAUGUUAUUUUUUGUUGGUUUUAUUUCAAUUGUUAAGGUUGUCGCUAUGUUGUGUACAGUUAAAAUAAGGUAGCAAGCCAAAAACUUGUGUAGUUAUUCCUCUUUCUCUUGUCAAUUCAUGAUACAAAUUAGCAGUAGAUUAUAUAAUAUUUUGUUAAAAUUUCAGUUUGACUAAAACGUGAACAAAAUUUCAUUUGUUUCCUUCUUACCUCUCCAAGAACUUUUUUGUUUAUCUAUACCAGUAUUUUUUUGCAAGCACGUGGUCUCCAUUAUUUACUUUCCAAAAAAUCCUUCUAGAGUUAUAAUAGGAAUAGAAAAUUCAAUCCGAUCAUUUCUAAGAACAUCUUUUUUUCCAAAUAUCUAUGUCUUAAUAAGAAGAUCUAUGAGCCUCUUUUGUCUUCAAGUAUUGCAUGAUUUCAUUAUUAAAUUGCACUAAUUUGAAUAUUUGAUGCCUAGAGACUAAAAUUCAUUACUUAACACACUAUGUUCUAGAGUGCUGCCUCUUGACCAAGGGGUUACUUUACAAAUGACUUAUAUCAUCAUAAUCUAAAACUUCAUCUACAUAUUUGUAGUACCUCAAUUUUGUCCCAAUAAUUAAAAAUUAUUUUCAUAAUAAUAAAAACAAAACAAAAAAACAUAAUCAGUAUUCGUCCUUUAUUUUUAAUUUUAAUCUUUGAAUUUUAAUUUUUUAUUUUAUCCCAAUUAUAUCUUCACCAUUCCUACACUCAAUCACAUAACUUGCAUAACUUUCUUUUAUUUUAUGGACAUCUUGCUGCAAAACAAUGAUAACCCAUAACUUUCUUUUAUUUUAUGGACAUCUUGCUGCAAAACAAUGAUAACCCAUAACUUUCUUUUAUUUUAUGGACAUGUUGCUGUCAAAUAAAUAAAACUCAGAACUUUGUUUUAUUUUAUGGAUACAACAGGUCACUAUUUUAGUCUAUAAGAAGAAGAUAAAAAUUCAUUUGAAGGGAGGAGGUGGAGAUUUCGAAAAUAGAAGAUUUAUUUUCUUUGCUUCUGAAAUAAAUCAAGAAAAAAAGAGAGAAAAUGUUGUAAAAAACCAAAACAGAGAAGAUAAAGAAACGUUUUGGAAAAAGUCCACCACAAUCCUUCUUCAAACCAACUCAUAACCAUAACCAAAACUCAAACUCAUUUUAACAACACAACCCACAAAAAUCUAUUAAAAGAUAAGAUAGAUAAGAGGAUCGUUACUACCUUUCAGUUCAGUCGCGCCGCCGUAGCCUCCAUCUUCACUGUGGCCGAUAUUUAGAAAGGCAAGUAUUUUUUUUUUACUCUCUUUAAGUUUGUUGUGCUUUAUGUUAUUUGGAAGAUAUAAACAUCACUAUGUUAAUAACUAAGAUUUGGAAGAAGAGCUUGAUUUGUUGGAAACUUUGUUUUAUUUGACAUUGGGUGUUUUGUUUGAAAUCUUAGUUUUAUUGUUUCUCUGGUUUGGCUUAUAAGGCUAUGAUGUUUUCUUUGGUUUUUAUUUAUUAUUAUUUUGUGAAGAUAUUUCCCCAUAUUAUCACUACUGGCCUCAGCAUUUGUUAUCCUACUGCUAACUCUAUUAUUAGUGUGUUGGUAUUCGCAUAAGAAAUGACACUAGCAACCUGCCAUCCAUACUUUCUUUUUCUCUAAUAUCACGUGAGGCAAUAUCAAGUAACAUGUGUGUAUGUAAUGCUGUAAAUUACUAUUUUAUUUCAUUUAACUUAAAUAAUAAUAAUUAUUUAAUUUAAUAAUGAUGGUCAUUUAACAUAAUUUAAUUUGAUUUAAUAUAAAUAAUGACUAAUUAGUAAUAAACAUAAUUCAUUUCACUUAUAAAUGAUAUUAAUAUGCUAUUUAAUAUUAAAUGAGUUAUGCUUUCAUCAUUUGAUUCACUAAAAAGUAUUUGAAAGAGUUCACAAUUUGUAUAUAGUUUUUAUUUUAUUAAUCUGGUAUUUUUAUUUUUUAUUUAUUUAAUAAAUAACAAUACAAGUCUAUAUUUUUUUUACCGUUUAUUUUAUUUUUAGGUGUGUUUAUUAUUGAGCUUAUUUCGUAGAAUUAUUUAAAUUUAUUUAAUUUUUAACAUCAAUUAUUAUUAUUAUUAUUAUUUUAAAAGGGUAAAGAUAAAACUAUAAUCUAAUAUUGUAAGGUUAAUUAGAUGUGACAUCUUUUUAAUCUUUGAGUUUUUAGAACACAAAUUGUGACAACUUGGUGGUUCUAAUCUCAUUUUCACAAAUAAAUUAAUAAGUAAAAAUUAUUGAAAGUUAAUUAAAAAUAACAUAUUUUAAUCCAUGAGUUGCAUAAUAUAAUUUAUAUAUUUUGAUAGCUUUAAAAUUUAUUUUUAUAAAUAAAUGGAAUUAAAAUCAACUUUUUAAAAUUUAAUUAAUUAGAUCUUGGAGUUGUUAAGACACAAGUUAAACAUUUUGUUGAUUUUAAAACUCAAUUUAAAGACAAAAAAUAUUCUUAAGAGGAUUAAAAUUAGAUGUGACAUCUUUUUUUUACUCCUUGAGUUUUGAGACACGAGUUGUACAAUUCGAUCGUCUUAAAAUUCAUAUUUUAAGAUAAUUAUUCAAAUCAAACAAGUUUUUUUAUGUUCGUCAAAAUUAUUUUUUUUAAGUAACAAAAUACAAUUUAUUUAAAAGCAAUCAACGCAUUCACAUUUUUUUACCAAGAACUACGUAGCUUUGAUUUCUCCAUCGCACCGGGAGAUACGUAGGAGCAAGAUCACACUCUUGUCAAGCACACUAAUAAAAACUUUCUUUUUUUCCAUUCUUUUUUAACACACUUUUAUCUCAAAAAAUCACAUUUAUAAAAAACAAUUUAUAUUCAUAUUUAAUAAUAAAGAAAAAUAAAUAUAUUUAAGUUGAUAUAAUUUUGCACAAUUAAUUAAAGGUAACCGUAUUUUAACGGAUGUCGUAGGGUGCUAAUACCUUCCCUACGCAUAAUCGACUCCCGAACUCAAAAUCUGGUUUCAAAGACCAUUUUUACAUUUUUAAGGGUUUCCCAAUAUUUUCCCUAUUUUAAAAUAAAUUUUGGUGGCGACUCCAUUGAAUUCGAUGAAAACUCGAAAUUUUAGGCUGCGACAAUAUUAUUAGAGGGUGAACAUUAGAGUCAGAGAGACUGAGAUUCCUGAGCUAGAUUUCAGGAUUUCAAUUAUGUUGCUUGGUGGUUACUCAGUCUCUCUUUAUUUGUAUGUGUUUCACUGUAUAAUUUUUGGCUUACUAUCUUAUAAUAAUAAUUGGGCCAUUGACAAACCUACAAAGGACCCCUGUUGGACUAUCUACUGCAUUGGUUUUAGGUUCUCUAAAGAUAGGUAAAUCAUAAUCUUGUUUUGUUUAAGUAUCCUAUUUUGUUUCAAGUAACAUUGACUACGGUAGGACAAACAAGCACAAGCACGUUUAUUAUAUGCUCUAGGUACUCAACCUUUGUUUGAUGGCCAGAGUUUCCACUACUUGUCAGUUGUCAUUAAUAUUUGAUGACGGAUGCCACUGUUCACGGUAGAUCGGUGCUUAAAAGCUACUUAAAACUAACGAUGGUUGACAACACUCUUUGGAAAUAAUUUAACAGUCCACCUGGUCUUUAUGGUUGAGAUAGUGACUUAGUUCUAUAAAAAUAAGAGAUAAUGAAAAUGUCUUUCAAAACACAACUUGUUGAACUUGUUGGAUCUGUUUUGGUAACAAUGCUGCAAGACUUUAAUAGUGAAGUUGUUGAUGAAGAUUAUAUGUAGCAAAUUCCAAAGCGUGUUGUUACACUAACAACACUAGCCUUCAGGUUCGAUUCGCCCCCACCAAUCGCAAAUGAGAUAACUAGUGAAUCCCCUUUAGGGUACUUUGGAAAACCUUGAUAUGAUUUGCACUUUCACACAAGAGUAUCUUUCAAUAGUAUGUUACAAAAGAAUGAUUCUUAUUCUUUACUCAUGUAUUAGAAAAGAAUAAGAUGACUUAGCAUAUAAGAAUAGGUGAGAAAAGUGGAUGGCAAUCAGUAGAAUUCGUGUUUUCAUUCUGUCCAAAGUGAUCCUAUUUAUAGGAAAACUAAUGUCACUUAAGAGAAAGUUGCAAUUUUUGGUUAUGCCACUGUUUAUGAAAGGCUAUAUACAUAUAACUGUUCAUUAAUGUAUUGAAGCAUUGCACUGGUCUGUUGGUUAAUCAGUGCUUCUGUUUGCGUGAGGAUCUGGGUUCGAAUUGCCGCUAUGUCUCUUCAUUUGUAAUGAACAAUCGCAAGCAGGGUUCAAACUCGUAACCUUAUGUUUCUAUACAAUGAACACAAUCACAUGAUCGUCUCAGCCAUAAAAACAAGGAGAAUUGUUAAUUCGAAUUUGCCAAUAUUUGAUAAAUUGAUACCUCAUAGAAAAUGUUACCACUCAAUUGUUGCAAAAGCGAUAUAUUUCUUCAUACUCCUAUCCAUCACAUGACAUAGAGCUAUAUUUCUUCAUACUCCUAUCCAUCACAUGACAUAGAGCAGUAAAUCAACCAAAAAAUUAUAUUCAAAAACAUAUUUGAAAGCUUGUACUUCUUCUUUACUGUUCAUGAAGGUGAGUAUGGUAUUCGUUGAGAGAAGAGGUGGAUGAUAAAGUAAUCAUCCGAGUGUUGUUCAGUGAAGUCAGCAUACAAAGUACUAAUGAGGGAAAGGAAGAACUCGGUGACAGAGGAGACUAGUAGAAAGAUAUGGCACAAAUUUAUUAUUAUAAUUUUUUUUUAAUUACAGUUUUGGUCCCCCUAUUUUAGCUGAAUCGUGAAAGUAGUCUUCUCAUUUUAUUUGUCUUCAAUUCGGUCCCUUAAACAUAAUUUUGGUUUAAAAUUUAAUAAAAUUUCAUUUUUUUUGUUACUAAGUUACAACAUGCCUCAAGAUCUCAUUUGCAACAAUUGUACCUGAAAUAUAUGAUUAUAAAUGGUGCAGUACGACUUUAAAAAAUGAAAUUUCAUCAAAUUUUGGACCAAAAUUGUGUUUGGGGACCAAGACGGGGUACAAACAAAAUAGGAGAACUACUUUAGUGAUUCAGCUAAAAUAAGACGACCAAAACUACAAUUAAGUUUAUUUUUUUCUCUCAAAAAGACGUUAUUAAAAUUAAUUAGCCAAUUCUUUUGUCAAUUGCGUUGUUUCAAAACUUUAUUUCAAAUUUUUUUAAAAUAACAAAUAAAAUUUUAUUUCAAUAAUUUUUAUUGUAAAUAAUUUAAAUUUGUUCGAGGCAAUUACUUUUAUAAAGAUUAUAUCAGCUAUAUCAUUGUUGCUAACAAAUAUGAAAAGUCCUUAUGGAGGAGAAAUCUUGAUAAACAAAGACACCUUUAGAUUUACAGGGCCAACAUCUAUAUGCGACCUUUGUUGUUUUCUGACUAUGACUUUGAAUCUCAUGUAAGUUAUGCGGCACUACUAUUACAUUUUUCAAAAUCUCAUUAUUUUAUUUCAAUUUUACGCUGUAAAUAUUUAUAUUGUGGUAACAUGUAGACAAAUAUAGUUUAAAUUACAUUUGCGAUGUUAUUUCAAAAUAUAUAAAAUUGUGACCGCAAUUGCAAUUACAAACAACAAUUUGAAACCACAUAUUAAAUUCAUAUUUAAAUAUAAUAAACAUUGUUUCUUUAUGUUUCUACACAUUUAUACUAAAGAAAGUUGUAAAAAGUAUCGCAUCAGACUACAAGACUAUAAUUAUAAUAUACAUAUAUUCUUAAAUAUAAUUAUAAUAUACAUAUAUUCUUAAAUAUGUAAAUAUUUAAAAGUUACAAAUAAAUAGUUACAUAGAUCAAAAUUAAAUAACAAUAAUUAAUUUUAAAUCAAUAUCUAAAAACAUUACAUACAAAAGAGUACUUGAUCUGAUUUGACCAAUCCUUAGUACAACUUGUAUAGACUCUUCUCUUCUUACAUUUCUUAUAUUGCUUUCAAUCAUAUAUAAAAAUGGCUAUAAUUAGAAAAUGAAUAUCAAGAAUAAAUGACUUAAAAAAGAGAAUAUCAAAUGCAUAUAUAAACAAUUGAAACAAAAAUUCGAGACAUUAAUUACCAAACUAGAAUCUUAAUUUAUAUUGAUUGAAAUAGGUUUAGGGCGGAAACAAUAAAAGUAUCUGAAAUUUGAGUGAGGAGUUGUUUUAAGAAUAUUAUUAUUAUUAUUAUUAUUAUUAUUAUUAUUAUUAUUAUUAUUAUUAUUAUUAUAAAAAUGGUAUUUGAUGAAGGUGUUGGAAAAUAUAAAAAAAAUGGGAGUUUGAACUGUGCUAUGUCAUUUUUAAAUUAAACUUCGAUUUUUUUGUACAAAAACGUUCUUCAUCAAAAUAUUCAACUUAUUCUUAUAAAUUAGGUUUAGUAAGAAUAAGGUUGAAUCAUAAAGAAUUAAGAGUACAAAGAAAAAACACAUAUUGUUACCGUUGCUAAUCUAACCCUCAUAUUUUGUUGCAACACCGUUCAAGACUUAAUCUACUAUUUUAAUAAUAACAUACAAGUAUUCUUCUUAAGCCGUAUAAGUAUUCUCAAUCUACUAUUUUAAUAAUAACAUACCAGUAUUCUUCUUAAGCCGUAUAAGUAUUCUUUACUCUGACUCUGAGACUUUGAGUCUUCUUUUUUGACCUGGCUAUACAAGUGUUCUUUCUCCAGACAUAUGUCAUCAGAACCGUUCUUUAGCAUUCUGUAAACCAACAAUACAUAACAUGACAUAAAUAAACAACCUGAAAAACACUUGAAGAACUGCUGCAACAUUAUUUUCAUGCACGAUUUGAAUCUGGACAAGGAGGAAUUGCUAUAUCUGUAAUCCCUUCUAACAUCAACACUACACCUUUCAUUGUCGGACGGAGAAGAGGUUCAUCUUGGAUACACCAAAGUGCCACCUUAACCAUAUUCUCCAUGACAUUCUCAUCAAUAACUUCCGAAGGAACAAGCUUAUUUACCUCUCUUGCAACAAAGCAUUUAUAAGCCCAACCAGAGAGAAGAAUCUCCUCUGGUUCCAACACAUUAACAUCAAGGUUUCUUCUGCAACAAAGUGUUUCCAACAAUACUAUUCCAUAGCUAUAAACAUCUGCCUUGAGUGAUAUUGGAAUGUUCUUGUUCCAUUCUGGAGCCAUGUAGCCUCUUGUCCCUCUAAUCACCGUGAAAGUUCUGGUUUGGUCGGGCAUUAGAAGUUUUGCAAGCCCAAAAUCAGCUAUCUUGGCAGUCCAAAACUCAUCCAUCAAAAUGUUUUGAGGCUUUAAGUCGCAAUGAAUGAUAGGACCAUCACACUCAUCAUGGAGAUAGAGGAUCCCUCUUGCAAUAUCAAGUGCUAUUCUUACUCUCUCAUUCCAAUCUGGGCGCCUUUGAUCACCAAACAGAAGCUUUCCAAGUGAACCGUUGCUCAUGUAUUCAUAAACCAGAAGCCUUUUAGAACCCUCAACACAAAAACCUAGCAAUCUAACUAAGUUCCUGUGGUGGGUUUUCCCAAUGGAUCUCACUUCUGCUUGAAACUCCCUUUCUCCUUCUUCCACCAACUUCUCUAGCCUCUUCACUGCAAUGAACCUCUUAGUCUUACCUUUCAGUAAGGCCCCUUUGUAAACAGAUCCAAAAGAGCCCUUACCUAACUCUUCCUUGAAAUGAUUUGUUGCUCUUUUCAGCUCGUUAUAUGUAAACCUUCUCAAAGCCACCUCUUCAUUUAACCCCAAGUUCCCAGUGUCCGUUAGCCUUUUGUACCUCAAAACUCGAAUCUUGUAAAUGUAAUGGCUGGAUAUAACAAUCGCUGAACACAAAACGAUACUAAAUACAGAUGUAACAACAAUAAUAUGCACCACUGCUUUGUUACUUGUAGUCUUACUUGGAGGAGGUUGAGGGAAAAAACGUGUAUAAUUCCUCUUCCAGUUUGGGAUGCUGUUUUUAUCAACCUUUAAGAACACGUUGGUCGAAUUGUCACCUUCAUCUGUCCUUAUGACAUAUCUCAAAGGCAACCCUUGUUUCUUGCAGUUUCCUUUUUCUCCGUCAUACAGUGCAGCCCAACAGUUGCAAUCAACCAAACAUUUUAAUGAGCAAUCUUCUUCUGAUAACAUAUCAUUUGUAGUCUCAAAAUAAGGAUGGUCUUUCCAUGUAAUAUUGUUCAUUGACACCAUCUUAUAAAAUGCCAAACCAUCUUCUUCACCUCUACACUGACCAGCUUCCAAAUAGUUCCUUUUGCAGCCUAGAGUCUUUUCAUUUGAAUCUAUAAAUUUAUAACCAUCAAGACAGUUGCACAAUGGUUUGUUGUCAACAAAUGUGCAGUAACUGUUGAAGCUACAAAACCCCUUUACUUCACAUGGGUUAUUCCCCGGCCAACUUAUGAUAACUUUGUCAGUUCCAUUGGUAUCGUGAUGAACAUACAACCGAAAAGCCCCAUCAAAAUCAAGGGAUGCACGAAAAAUAGUGUGGUUUACAGUGUUCUGGUCUUCUGUAGCAUCAACCAAAGAGUUAAUAAGGUUAGGAUUAGAAUCUCCGCUGCUAUUCCAGAUUUGCAGUAAACCUGUUUUGUUGAGGUAAAGAAAAUAAUUGUCUUUGACAGUACUACUAAUACUAAUACCCGCGGCCCAGUAAGCGUCCCAACCUGUUUCUGUUGUGUAUGCUGGAUACAGAACAAGAUUUCCAUCAACCUGCAUCUUCAGUUUAAACCUUCCAGUUGAGUGGUUGGCCUGUGAUAAACUAGACGACAGUUGGCCACCACCAGGUAGAGAUUGACUCCCCAACAAAGUAUCAGUUGGGUGGUCAAAACUCUGCCAUAUGAUGUUGUUGUUGUCGUCGUCGUAUAUUACAAAAUUCCCAGAAUCAUGCAUGGAGGCAGAGGAAGCUCUUGUAUUAGCAUUAACAAUGAGCUUCUUUUGUCCUUGUUCAUCAAUUAGUAUGAGCGAACCAUUCAUGGUAAAUUGUAAUGUUGCAGUUAAGGUUACUGGAGGAUCAUCCCGGUUUGCAGUCCAUACUACUAUUAUCUUGUUCAUCUUGCCAACCAACCAAAUUCCAACGGAAAAGCCAUUGCCAUGUUGAUAAAAUCCGAAAGCAAAUAGGCCAGAAUGGGAAAGCCACGAAGAUGGGUAAUCACUGCUGGUGGAGGAAAGUGAGGAACCAGGUGUUAUUCGCUCAAGUGUUUGAGCUCCAGUACUUACUAAUGAUAAGGACAUGAACAGAAGCAAGAUGAUAGUUGUAGUAGUAUAGGCAUUCAUAACUAUUUGGUUUAGAUUAUCUCAGAGAAAUAAGAAGGCAAGUUUUUGUUUUCUAAUGUCACUCACUACCUUUUGCUCUAUAAAUAAAACUUUGCUUGGAUCAUCAAACUUAAUAGUCACGUCACAGCAAAGCAAGAGUGCGAGACUUUGACUAACAAGUCCCUUGAGCCAUUUUAUACGGCUGGAAAUAAACAUCUCUCAAUGAAGGAAGCAGGAAAUGAUCCUGGUCGCUCUAAUACCACACAUCACUUUGGUAAUGAGUCUACUACUUCCUCAUUAAUUAAGGUAAUGAGUCUAAUGACAUAUUCACAUGGAAAUUGGGGCAUAUUUCAUUCCUGUAUACAACCAACUAAAAGUAAUAUGCAAAGUUGUUAUGGAAUAUGUCAAAAAUUCAAGGUGUAUUUUCUUUAUCAAUAAAAGUUUAGAUGAGGUAGUUUUUUAAUUCAUCAUUUAUAUUCACAAUUUAGAUAAUGUUCGAAAUUUUAUAAUAUUUCAAAAGUAUUGUAGAAAUAAUUUUAAAUUAAAUAUGAUAAUACUACACUAAAAUGAAAUAUAAGUAAAAAAUGUAAUUCAAAAGUUGACGUAUUUGAUCUUAAUUUUUAAUUAAAUACAUCAACUUUUAAAUACUAUUUUUACUUAUAUUUGAUCAUAAAGAGAAUAUAAAUUUAUUUCAUAUUAUUAAAUUAAAAUAUUUGCUCUUCUGUGAAAGUUUCCAUAACAUGAAUAUAAAGUUGGUGAAUCGAGUUGGACUUCAAAGAUAGAGGUCUCAGAAUUCAACUUUACAUUUCCAAAUAAUAAAGAUAUGUUAGUGACAAAAAAUUUUAACUCUAAUAUAUACCAGAUAGAUUCUCAAUUAAGUGAUUGAAUUAUGAUACUUGAGAGAAAUUAGUACUUGAGUCAAAUUAGUAAUUAUUGUUAAUGAUGUUAGCAUCUAUUAAGUGGAAGCUGAAACGAACAAGAAGAAACGAACAAGAAGAGUGCUUAAUUCACGUUUAUUGUGCAAGACAAGUCAGAGUCAACGACCAUGCGUCUAUGCUAAAAUACACAGAGCACUGAAGUUUUAAGUGCAAACAAAAUUUCUGUUUUUCCCUGUCCCACAUGGUUUAUACCAGAAAACUUUGGCUUUUCUUAACCGCUUUUGUUGUGCAUGAACUAGUCAACAUGGCACUUGGAUCAUGCGUGGAAAUUCAGAAUCCAGUCGACUGUUCAAAAGGAAAUUUAUUUAGCAGUCCUCAUAAUAUAUUUUGUUUUGACGAGUACGAAUAGAAUCAUCAUUUUCUUUGAGACACCAGAAAAGUAGUUUUCAAUUCUAUGGCUUCCACCCCUGUCCGGUUGUUAGUGUUCUUCUUCAUGCUAUAUACAGCUGAAGCAACAACCAAAAAAAAUAACUCCAGUAUCAUUAGGUUGGGGUCAUUUUGCCAUCAAGUUCUGGUCAUUUUGCUUUUGGUUUUUACCCACAAGGAAGUGGCUUUGCUGUUGGGAUAUGGUUGGUUAGUCCAUCUGAAAACACAACCACUGUUGUAUGGACUGCUAACCGUGAUGCUCCACCAGUCUCCACUAAUUCGAUAUUGAAUUUGACUGAGGGAGGCCUGCUUCUUCAAAAUGGAAAUGGAGACUCACCUAAGAAGUUAGACUCGGAAAGUCCAUAUAGAUUGUUAAUCUCAUGGGCAUCUAUGGAUGAUUCUGGCAACUUUGUGUUUUAUGAUGUGGAUUCUUACAUUAUCUGGCAAAGCUUUGAUCACCCAACUGACACCAUAUUAGGAGGUCAGAAUUUGACUAUUGAUGAUGAGUUAGUCUCUAGUAUUUCCAAAUCAGACCAUUCAAGUGGACGUUUCUAUCUAAGCAUGCAAACUGAUGGAAGCCUUGUGGCUUACCCUUUUUACAGCUCCAGAGACCUUGAGGAUGCUUACUGGUCUAUAGAAGGUCAGACAUCCUUCAAAAUACUCAGUCUUAACAAUCAAGGCUUUCUUUGUCUAUAUUGUGAUCUGUUUAAUAGUUUCAUGAUUUACCAAUGCUCAAACUUAAAAGGCUUAUGUUUCAACGAUGGCAAUAAGCCUAGAAAGAAGUCACCUAACAAUACAACUUCAAUCUACCGUGCAACACUUGACAUAGAUGGAAACUUGAGAUUGUAUGAGCACCAAUUUCACUUUGAGGGAAACAAUACUACUACUAGCUCACGUGUGGAAAUGCUGUGGCAAGCACUUAAUGAUACAUGUGAAGUGAAGGGUUUUUGUGGGUUGAACAGUUAUUGCUCCUCCAACAUGAGUGGUGAUGCUGUCUGCAAGUGUUAUCCUGGUUUCGUCCCUUCCAUGACUCAAAACAGUGCUAAUAUGGACUGCGUACGGAUGCAUAGCAAAGAUGAUUGUGAAAGCAGUGAAGACCCGGCGAUGUUGUAUAAUAUUACUCACCUUGAGAAUAUGUCUUGGGGUGAUAUUCCAUAUUCUGUUAUUCUCGGGAUGAAGAUGGAAACUUGUGAUAAGGCUUGCCAAGAAGAUUGUGUUUGUGGGGGAGCAAUAUAUACAAACGAAACUUGCAUUAAAUAUAGACUUCCACUUAUUUAUGGCAGGUUUCAGAAUGAUACCUCCACCGUGUCUUUGGCCAUAUUCAAGAUUCCUUCUUCAACAACUGCCAUUAUUUCACCUCCAACCUCAAACGAGAUCAACUUGCAUAAGCCCAAUGUUGUUUAUGACAACAAGAGAAAUCUCAUAAUGAUCCUAGCUUUUACUUUGGGUUCCGUUUCAUUGAUUUGUUUGGUCUUUGCAGUGUCCAUUUUCUUCACUUACAGGCGUCAAGUUCAUAGAUACGCAGUGUUGUCUGAAAGUGAUAAACUUGGAUUUACUGAAGAAUGUUCCUUGCGUUCAUUUUCUCUUGACGAACUUGCGGAAUCAACUGGUGGCUUUUCAGAAGAGAUAGGGAGAGGAUCAUUUGGAGCUGUUUAUAAAGGUACAAUAGGCGACAACAACAGAAGUAUUGCUGUGAAGAGACUAGAGGAGAGAAUUACCGAUGAAGGGGAGAGGGAAUUCCAAGCUGAAAUUACUGCCAUAGCUCGAACUCAUCAUAGGAAUUUGGUUAAGCUUAUUGGUUUUUGUAUUGAAGGGUCCAAGAAGCUUCUUGUUUAUGAAUUUGUCAGCAAAGGAUCUCUUGCAAAUCUCCUUUUUGAAUGGGAAAUAAGAUUACCUUGGAAAGAGAGAAUGAAACUUGCAUUGGACGUGGCCAGAGGACUACUCUAUCUACACGAAGAGUGUGAAGUCCAAAUCAUCCAUUGCAAUAUAAAUCCUCGAAAUAUACUUAUGGAUGAAGCAUGGACUGCUAAAAUAUCUGAUUUUGGAUUCUCAAGGCUAUUAAAGAGAGGCCACUCUAGGACUAAAAAAGGGGAUGAUGGCACAAGCAGGUACUUAGCUCCUGAAUGGCAGAAGGACGAUGCAUCAGUAUCAGUAAAAGCUGAUAUUUAUAGUUUUGGGGUGGUAUUAUUGGAGAUUACCUGUCGUAGAAGAAGUAUAGAAAUGAAUAAUAUAUCCUCAGCUGACGAAAUCCUUCUUUCCAGUUGGGUAUAUCAAUGUUUUGCAGCAGGACAAUUAAACAAGCUUAUCACACGUGAUGAAAAAGAUGUGGAUUGGAAGAUAUUGGAAAGAAUGGUGAAGGUGGGGCUGUGGUGUGUGCAAGAUCACCAAUCUCUCCGUCCUGCAAUAAAGAAUAUAAUCUUAAUGUUAGAAGGUUUGAAAGAUAUUCCACUUCCUCCUUCUCCAGCUCGCUUAGUUGAAUAGUCUUGUAGGGGCAUUAUGUUUUUUGUCUGUGUUAUUUAUUAUCUAUGCUAUUGCAUUAUGAAUAUGAUAUGAAUUUUUGUACCAUCUUCCUACUGUUCACGUCCUUACCUUGAGAAGAUACUAGAGCUAGAGCUGAAACACAACAACCACUACCAGUCUACCAGAGCAGAUACCACCUGGUUCCUCAUUAUUAGUGACUAAAAUUAAAU